rnacentral:rRNA from 1 species
UGCGUAGGCGGGUCUUUAAGUCAGGGGUGAAAUCCUGGAGCUCAACUCCAGAACUGCCUUUGAUACUGAAGAUCUUGAGUUCGGGAGAGGUGAGUGGAACUGCGAAUGUAGAGGUGAAAUUCGUAGAUAUUCGCAAGAACACCAGUGGCGAAGGCGGCUCACUGGCCCGAUACUGACGCUGAGGCACGAAAGCGUGGGGAGCAAACA